rnacentral:rRNA from 1 species
GUCUACGGCCAUGCUACCCUGAACAAGCCCAAUCCUGUGGGAUCUCGGAAGCUAAGCAGGGUCGGGCCUGGUUAGUACUUGGAUGGGAAGACCACCUAGGAAGACCACGUGCUAUAGGCG